CUGGGAGUCUGGCGGAGGACACCAGCCUGAGACUGGAUGCACUAAACAGGGACUCCAGAGCCUGCGAACAAGUCUACUAGCUGUCUCUGCAGAAGCCUGGACUCAAGGUCAACUGAUAGGGUUCCGGCCUCUAAAUCAGCGAGGAGGGCCUUGCAUUCCUCCCCAGAGAUAAGGACCCCACGACCUGAUCUGGUUUAUACUGGCUCUCCGAGCUCGCCAGUAGUCCCCUCUCCCUGUCCGGAAAUAAUCUCCCGGCUCAGGGGAUGAAUUGAGCCUCCGUGGGAUGUUGGUCUCCGCCUGAAAUGAACACGGGAUGUCUGUUACUUGUGUUCCUCAUGAAUCGCCAUAUAUCCCCACCGUUUUCACCAUGUUUGUAAUCUCAACCCCUAGGAUCAUAAAAAACUUGUCAUUGCCCCCUGCGGGGCGGCAGAUCAGAGGUUUGCCCUCCAGUCUCCCGGUUUGGCUGCCCUAGAAUAAACUCUUUCCUUGCUACCAGCCUGAUGUCCAGUUGGCUGACAAAUGUGGGACCGGCUUUGCU